rnacentral:rRNA from 1 species
GGGUUGUGAGGUUAAGCGACUAAGCGUACACGGUGGAUGCCCUGGCAGUCAGAGGCGAUGAAGGACGUGCUAAUCUGCGAAAAGCGUCGGUAAGGUGAUAUGAACCGUUAUAACCGGCGAUGUCCGAAUGGGGAAACCCAGUGCAAUUCGUUGCACUAUCGUUAACUGAAUACAUAGGUUAACGAGGCGAACCGGGGGAACUGAAACAUCUAAGUACCCCGAGGAAAAGAAAUCAACCGAGAUUCCCCCAGUAGCGGCGAGCGAACGGGGAGCAGCCCAGAGUCUGAAUCAGCUUGUGUGUUAGUGGAACGGUCUGGAAAGUCCGACGGUACAGGGUGAUAGUCCCGUACACCAAAAUGCACAGGCUGUGAACUCGAAGAGUAGGGCGGGACACGUGGUAUCCUGUCUGAAUAUGGGGGGACCAUCCUCCAAGGCUAAAUACUCCUGACUGACCGAUAGUGAACCAGUACCGUGAGGGAAAGGCGAAAAGAACCCCGGCGAGGGGAGUGAAAAAGAACCUGAAACCGUGUACGUACAAGCAGUGGGAGCACCUUCGGGUGUGACUGCGUACCUUUUGUAUAAUGGGUCAGCGACUUAUAUUCUGUAGCAAGGUUAACCGUAUAGGGGAGCCGCAGGGAAACCGAGUCUUAACUGGGCGUUAAGUUGCAGGGUAUAGACCCGAAACCCGGUGAUCUAGCCAUGGGCAGGUUGAAGGUUGGGUAACACUAACUGGAGGACCGAACCGACUAAUGUUGAAAAAUUAGCGGAUGACUUGUGGCUGGGGGUGAAAGGCCAAUCAAACCGGGAGAUAGCUGGUUCUCCCCGAAAGCUAUUUAGGUAGCGCCUCGUGAACUCAUCUUCGGGGGUAGAGCACUGUUUCGGCUAGGGGGUCAUCCCGACUUACCAACCCGAUGCAAACUACGAAUACCGAAGAAUGUUAUCACGGGAGACACACGGCGGGUGCUAACGUCCGUCGUGAAGAGGGAAACAACCCAGACCGCCAGCUAAGGUCCCAAAGUCAUGGUUAAGUGGGAAACGAUGUGGGAAGGCACAGACAGCCAGGAUGUUGGCUUAGAAGCAGCCAUCAUUUAAAGAAAGCGUAAUAGCUCACUGGUCGAGUCGGCCUGCGCGGAAGAUGUAACGGGGCUAAACCAUGCACCGAAGCUGCGGCAGCGACACUAUGUGUUGUUGGGUAGGGGAGCGUUCUGUAAGCCUGCGAAGGUGUGCUGUGAGGCAUGCUGGAGGUAUCAGAAGUGCGAAUGCUGACAUAAGUAACGAUAAAGCGGGUGAAAAGCCCGCUCGCCGGAAGACCAAGGGUUCCUGUCCAACGUUAAUCGGGGCAGGGUGAGUCGACCCCUAAGGCGAGGCCGAAAGGCGUAGUCGAUGGGAAACAGGUUAAUAUUCCUGUACUUGGUGUUACUGCGAAGGGGGGACGGAGAAGGCUAUGUUAGCCGGGCGACGGUUGUCCCGGUUUAAGCAUGUAGGCUGAUUGUCCAGGCAAAUCCGGAUAAUCAAGGCUGAGGUGUGAUGACGAGGCACUACGGUGCUGAAGUAACAAAUGCCCUGCUUCCAGGAAAAGCCUCUAAGCAUCAGGUAACAUCAAAUCGUACCCCAAACCGACACAGGUGGUCAGGUAGAGAAUACCAAGGCGCUUGAGAGAACUCGGGUGAAGGAACUAGGCAAAAUGGUGCCGUAACUUCGGGAGAAGGCACGCUGGUGUGUAGGUGAAGUCCCUGCGGAUGGAGCUGAGACCAGUCGAAGAUACCAGCUGGCUGCAACUGUUUAUUAAAAACACAGCACUGUGCAAACACGAAAGUGGACGUAUACGGUGUGACGCCUGCCCGGUGCCGGAAGGUUAAUUGAUGGGGUUAUCCGUAAGGAGAAGCUCUUGAUCGAAGCCCCGGUAAACGGCGGCCGUAACUAUAACGGUCCUAAGGUAGCGAAAUUCCUUGUCGGGUAAGUUCCGACCUGCACGAAUGGCGUAAUGAUGGCCAGGCUGUCUCCACCCGAGACUCAGUGAAAUUGAACUCGCUGUGAAGAUGCAGUGUACCCGCGGCAAGACGGAAAGACCCCGUGAACCUUUACUAUAGCUUGACACUGAACAUUGAGCCUUGAUGUGUAGGAUAGGUGGGAGGCUUUGAAGCGUGGACGCCAGUCUGCGUGGAGCCAACCUUGAAAUACCACCCUUUAAUGUUUGAUGUUCUAACGUUGGCCCCUUACCGGGGUUGCGGACAGUGUCUGGUGGGUAGUUUGACUGGGGCGGUCUCCUCCCAAAGCGUAACGGAGGAGCACGAAGGUUAGCUAAUCCUGGUCGGACAUCAGGAGGUUAGUGCAAUGGCAUAAGCUAGCUUGACUGCGAGCGUGACGGCGCGAGCAGGUGCGAAAGCAGGUCAUAGUGAUCCGGUGGUUCUGAAUGGAAGGGCCAUCGCUCAACGGAUAAAAGGUACUCCGGGGAUAACAGGCUGAUACCGCCCAAGAGUUCAUAUCGACGGCGGUGUUUGGCACCUCGAUGUCGGCUCAUCACAUCCUGGGGCUGAAGUAGGUCCCAAGGGUAUGGCUGUUCGCCAUUUAAAGUGGUACGCGAGCUGGGUUUAGAACGUCGUGAGACAGUUCGGUCCCUAUCUGCCGUGGGCGCUGGAGAAUUGAGGGGGGCUGCUCCUAGUACGAGAGGACCGGAGUGGACGCAUCACUGGUGUUCGGGUUGUCAUGCCAAUGGCACUGCCCGGUAGCUAAAUGCGGAAGAGAUAAGUGCUGAAAGCAUCUAAGCACGAAACUUGCCCCGAGAUGAGUUCUCCCUGAGACUUUAAGUCUCCUGAAGGAACGUUAAAGACGAUGACGUUGAUAGGCCGGGUGUGUAAGCGCAGCGAUGCGUUGAGCUAACCGGUACUAAUGAACCGUGAGGCUUAACCUUACAACGCCGAAG